rnacentral:rRNA from 1 species
GAUCAUGGCUCAGAACGAACGCUGGCGGCAGGCUUAACACAUGCAAGUCGAACGGAUCCUUCGGGAUCGAGUGGCGGACGGGUGAGUAACGCGUGGGAACCUACCCUGGGGUGGGGAAUAACCUUGGGAAACCGAGGCUAAUACCGCAUACGCCCUAUUGGGGAAAGACUAUGUUGCCCUGGGAUGGGCCCGCGUCCGAUUAGCUAGUUGGUGGGGUAAUGGCCUACCAAGGCUGCGAUCGGUAGCUGGUCUGAGAGGAUGAUCAGCCACACUGGGACUGAGACACGGCCCAGACUCCUACGGGAGGCAGCAGUGGGGAAUAUUGGACAAUGGGGGCAACCCUGAUCCAGCCAUGCCGCGUGAGUGAAGAAGGCCUUAGGGUUGUAAAGCUCUUUCACCCGUGACGAUGAUGACGGUAGCGGGAGAAGAAGCCCCGGCUAAUUCCGUG